rnacentral:miRNA from 1 species
AUUUUUUCUGUGUUGGUGCAGUGUACUCAGGUGAAUAUGAUAUUUGUGGUACACCACAAAUAUCAUAUUCACCUGAGUACACUGCACCAACACAGAAAAAAAAUUGAAAUUGU